rnacentral:piRNA from 1 species
AAAUGCACUGGAGACACGGAAUGAAU